rnacentral:tRNA from 1 species
ACCUGGCUGGCUCAGUUGGUAGAGCAUGUGGCUCUUGAUCUCAGGGUCAUGAACUUGAGUCCCAUGUUGGGUA